GAUGAACGCUAGCUACAGGCUUAACACAUGCAAGUCGAGGGGCAGCGGAGGGCGUAGCAAUACGCCUGUCGGCGACCGGCGCACUGGUGAGUAACACGUAUGCGACCUGCCCCCUACAGGGGUAUAACCCGUAGAAAUGCGGACUAAUCCCCCAUAGUCCUGGGUGCUGCAUGGCAUUCAGGGGAAAGGUCAGCCGGUAGGGGAUGGGCAUGCGGCGUAUUAGCUAGUUGGCGGGGUAACGGCCCACCAAGGCGACGAUCAGUAGGGGUUCUGAGAGGAAGGUCCCCCACAUUGGAACUGAGACACGGUCCAAAACUCCUACGGGAGGCAGCAGUGAGGAAUAUUGGUCAAUGGACGAGAGUCUGAACCAGCCAAGUAGCGUGCAGGAUGACGGCCCUAUGGGUUGUAAACUGCUUUUAUAAGGGAAUAAAGUGAGUCUCGUGAGACUUUUUGCAUGUACCUUAUGAAUAAGGACCGGCUAAUUCCGUG
rnacentral:rRNA from 1 species